CUCUUUCAUGAACUUUAUUUUUAUAUUUUCUAUGAAAAAGCGUUUGCUGGUUUAUUAAUUUUAUUUUUUUUGGAUUAAAAGAUAAUAAGAUGUUGAAACAAUUUAAAAUCGUGCAGAAGAGAUACUACAUGGUAAAUUAUCGAAGCUCCAAUGUUUUUACAAGCGCACGACCCUUUCAAUACAAAAAGUUCUAGUGUUCCUGACUUCAUCACAAGGAUGUUAAUAGUUCAAUCAAGAAAAACAAAAAUGAGCCAUAAAGCUUCCUCAUGGCCGGCCUAUACACAUACUACACAGGUGAAAUUCCUCGGGCAAGGGUUUGAAGAUAAGGGACUUACAAUACAAGUAGUGGAAAUUACGGCUUUUGGGACACCGGAGAAUGCCCUGUCAACGAGGAUCCUAACUGAAGCAUAAGUGGGUAUACAGGGCUAAAUUCCUUAUCUCCUCUAGAUCUAACCUUCACAGCAUAAUCAUCUAGUGUGGUUUUAAUACCUUUCCAAAUCUGAUCCUCUCCUUGAGAAUCUAGCCACAAUGAAUACUGCAGAGGUGUAAGUUUGUUUCUUUGCAAUGGAGACUGCAAUUCAUCAGGUCCUCGGGAGUAAAGGUGGUGCAGUAUGACACUUGGUGGCAGAUCUUGAAGAACAGGAGAAGCUUCGAGUUGAGAUGUCUCCAAGAAAAUAAGAGGCCGAAAUGCUCGGAGAGCCCGGUAGGGCAGACCAAGUUGUUCAACUGGGUACAAAUUUUGACCCACAGCUAAUUCAAGCUCAGCCAUGUCUCUAGCCAUUCUGAGUUUACCUGAUUCUGACAGUGGUCGUACAAGCGAAGCAUGUCUAAUAAAAAAUGUCAAAACCCUAGACGCCAUGCUUCUUACAAGCUGGGUGCAAAUAGUUUCAGCCCCUGCAGCUGCAGCAUUUGUUGAAGAAGGUAACAACCUAGACAAGAACUCAGUACGAAAGUGAAGGAUAGACUUCUGCAACUCCUCCAUGUAAGGUGAAGUGUUGUUGUCCAUUGCAGCAUCCAUGCCAAGAACACCAAAGUUCUGUUCAUGAAUGUGCAAGAUGCACGAUUCUAGACGGUCAACCAUUGCUUUGAACAAAGGUGUAACUGAAUCACGGGCAACCCCAUAUAUUGCACCCAGUGAGGGAGAUAACACUUCUGCAGCAAUAGUGGGCAGUCCAAUAAUCAUAGAUGAUAUGGAAGUGUGAACUUCUUGUAGAUGCUGACAUAAAGCGAAGUUCUUGAUUUGUGCUGGAGUUGCAGGACCCAUAAUUUGGCGAGCCUCAUGACCAGCGGAUAUCUGCCAUUCAGAUGCAAUUUGUGAUCUUUCAAAUGACAAUGCUAACUUGUUAAUCAUGAGAAAUCAAAAUGCCUAGGUUGUAGAACCCUAAAAAUAAUAGAAUCGCAUUGUUUAAGUUUCAGCAUUUUCUUUAUAUAGUUAAUAAGACUUUGCCAAUGAAUGUUGUAUUGCUGAAUGAUCAUCAAAUAACAAAUAGAGUGAACGGUCUACCAGUGUUUAUCCUAUUUGAUCCAUAACCUCCAACUUUUAAUACUAAGACAUCAACAAAUUGUAGAAAUGAAUGCACAGGGAAUGCCAUAAAAAUAUAUAAGAAACUAGUCCACCAAUGUCAUUUUAGUGUACACCAAGUAAGCAUUAUGACAAAAAGAAAGAAGCAGAGUUGCUCGACACUGGAAUUCCAAGAAUCCAUCAACAUUGCAUCAGAAGGUGGCCAUUCUUCAUUUCUUUGGAUUAUGGUUACAAUUGCAGCAUGUACUGAUAUGAUAGAACAUGUAACAUAAAUAAUUACAAGAUAAUAAUUUUACUAGAGAAGUGUUAUGCAGCAAUAUCACCAAUAAAAAGACCAACGAAAAGGACACAGAAAGAACAAAUUAUGGAAUUGUGGUAAUGCUCUGACUCUGAGUAGGAUAUACAAGUGGAUUAUCAUUAUGUGUCAUAUGAGGAACAACUCCACAUACAUAGCCCAAGAUAUGCCUCCAAAUGACAACAGACCAUAGAGAGAGAAGGGGGAAAAGAAAAGAAAAUAAAAAUCAAUAGCAUAUUUUUCUGUCAAAAUACCUGGUAUUCUGCUCGUUCUGCAAGCAGAAGCAAGGCCUUGCCAAUUUCAUGCAGCACAAGAAGAGUCAAUCGUCCAUCCAACUGAACACCUUCAAUUUCUUCCUGGAUGCGUGAUAUAAUCCAAGAGAUUUGUUCUUUGGAGGGAAUGCUUCCACGACUGGACACAGGGAAAACAGUAUUUACAAUGUCUGAAAGGCGACUUAAACACAAAGCCAAGAAAGCUGUCUGGAAAAUCUCAAUAGCUUGAACCAUCUGUUCUUUCCCUUCCAAGCUAAUGGCUGGUAAAACCCCUUUGAUAUCCGUAUCCUGUGAAAUCCUUUCUAGUAGGUUAUCUAUCAUUGAGAAGAGUUUAGGAUAUCCCACAGUAAAUAUCUCCUUAACAAAACUUGAUGCAGUGAAAGCAGACUUCAUUUGGCUUGCAAAAGCCUUCACUAGUGCCUCCCAAACUCGAUCAGUUAACAUGGAAUCACCUUCCUUGAUAACCUCAUCAAGCAGCAAAACAUGCGUAAAUGGAUCUCUCUUCUUGGACAAGACCCUCUGCAAAUGCCAAACGGCAACCACUACGGAAUGCAAUUUAUCGAUACAUGUUCCCAUUCUCUGCCAUAGCGCUUCUCUGGCUCUCGCCCCCCCUCCAAUUUGAGGUGUUCCACUCCCUCUAACCCCUCCCGGCCCAUACCCACCGCCGCCGCCUCCGGCGGAAAUGGCCUUCAUAUCCAACGCUACACUCACACUCUUCACCCCAAUCCCCUUGUAUUUAUUCACCAGUUGCUCCACUGUAACCUUUAACUCUCCCAAAUUAUAGAACACUUGCAAUCCUGUACCAACUUCAGCCUGAUUCAAUCCCCCCAUUCCCCUCUCCAGAACUUUCAUUGCCUCGUCUCGCAGUCUUUCGCCAAUUUCUUUAAUCCAAUUGAGCUCUUCAUCAAUGCAAUCGAUUCCCAUCAAGUCAUAUUCACUGCACAUAUUCAAGAUCUCACAAUGGAGCUGGGCUGCCUUGGCCAGAUCCAGCUUCUCAGGCUCUGUCUCCGAGGCCGAGAUCAGAUCACGGAGCUUCUUUGAAAGUCGGAGAGCACGGAUCGUGUGUUGCAAAAGCUCCGUGGUGCAAUGGAGAUUGGAGAGUUGGAGGGUUUUGGAUUGGAUGGAUUUAUGGGGUUCGGAAAGCUCUGAUCGUACGCGGCGCACAGAUGACUGUAGGGAGGAUACGGCGGAUCUAACGGUGGAGAGAGCGUGUUCAGCAUGCUUGAGAGAUGAUAAUUGGUUGAGGAGUUCAGUGUGGCGAGAUAGGACUUCAGUGCGGAGUUGGGAUUCGAGGAGGCGGAUGGCAUGGUGGAGGUGUUCGGCAGUGGAAGCCGGGGACCCAGAAGAGAGGGCCGCAGAAGAGAAGGAAGUGGAGGAGAAGGAUGAGGAGAGAAAAGGGGAGAGGAUAGGGUCUUUGGCAAAUGAGUCUAAGGGGGAAGCUGCGGCGGUGGUAGGUGGAAGAUGGGAGGAAGAGGAGGGAUUUUUGAAGGUAGAGAGGCGUUGGAGAGGGGAUGCAGAAGACGAGGCAGUGGCGGAGGAGGGGAGUGGAGAUC
rnacentral:misc_RNA from 1 species